AUGGCAGAUGCCAUUGUUGGUCCACUGUUGAGCAAGCUGCAGGCGCUAGCAGUGACGGAGGGGAAGGCCCUAGCCGCCGUGGGCAACGAGAUUGACCGCCUCCGUGACAAGCUCAUGUGGCUGCAUGCGCUGGUGCACGAGACUGACCUCCGCAGCAGGUCAGACAGCAAUCAGCAAAUCCGCGUACUCGCGUACCAGGUGCGCGAGGUUGCCUUCGCAGCCGAGGAUGCCAUCGACCAUUUCUUCCUGCAGGCCGACCUCUCCCGCUUCGGUCACAACUGGCGUGUGGCGGCUGCCAUGUUCUUCUCUAACUUUGGCACACAGAUCCGUGUCCGGUACAUCCUCUCCCGGAAGAUCAAGUCCAUGAACACGAGGCUAGAGGAUAUUGUGGACAACAGUGCCAAGUACCACAGCGACGAUGGAAGUACAAAAGCGACCACAUGGAGGGCGUCACGUGCCAUCCCUCCAGUCCGCCAGAACUGGGAUGACAGGGACUUGGAGAAGAAGCAAGAUGCCAAGGCGGGCGGGCCAAUACGCAAGGAAGAAGAAAAGAAAUUGAAGGACCUCCUCCUUAAGCAAAUUGGAAGCCGUGUGAUUUAUGUGGUUGGUGAGAGUGGUAUCGGGAAAAAGUAUCUGGCACAGAAAGUAUACAAAAACAUCAAGGGAAAUUUUGACGUACAUGUGUGGGCAAGCUUUCCACCAGACACCAUCAACAUCAUUGGUGAGAUAAAAAGAAAGCUGGAAGAUAAGUGCUCCAAGCUGCAGCCUAGCGUGGAGAGUAUAGACCAAGUUAAGUACUUGGUUGUGGUAGAUUGCCCGCUGAGUAACACCAUGCUCGGGGAUAACAUUAUUGCACAUGAUUUGCUCAAGGGUGCAGAAGGUAGCAAGAUUGUGCUGACAGCAACGUCCAGUCCCCGUGCAGACAAGAAUAAUGUCGGCAUCAUCAAGCUUGGUUAUCUGAAAAAUCCGAAGAGCGAGACGUUGUUCAACAGGAUUCUGGGCCUCAGGGGGCGCAGGCAGACUAAAUACAAGACAACAAUGAUGGAUAAGGUCCGCAAAAGAAUUGAACCAAUAACCAAGGGACUACCACUGGCAGUGGCUCUUCUUGCCAAGUUCAUGCGGACCAUGGACCACAGCAAGUGGGAGGCAGCAUCGGAGUACAUCCAGAUGAACAACCAGGACAACGCGCUCAUGACGAUGGUGUCCAUGUGCAUCGAUGACCUGCCCAAUGAUCUCAAGUCAUGCUUGCUGUACACAGCAGGCUUCCCGGAGUGUAGCACAAUCGACGCCGGCCAGCUAGUGCGGCUCUGGGUGGCGGAAGGCUUCCUAACUCAGCAGCCUGGGGUGGGACAGGAGGAGCUGGGUCAACGUUACCUCAAGGAGUUUAUCUUCCGAGGCCUUUUGCAGCUGGUGAAGAAGAAAGAAUACAUCGUGGAAUCAGUUGCCAUUCAUGAGCUGGUUCAUCAGAUUUUCCGGUCCGAGGCGCAACGUAUUGGCCUCAUGGAAACCCACAAUGGUGGUCGGUAUGCCUUUGUCACGGUUAGCGCGAGGCGCCUAGCUCUCAACAACAGCAAAAUGCCGGGCAAAACAAAGGUGCUUUGGAAGGUGCGAACCGUGCUGUCCCACGACGCACAAGGUAUUAUGGGAGGUGCAAAGCUGCCCAGUCGAGCUCAUGAUGCCAAGCUCAUGGAAGGGUCACAAGAAUCCAAAGAAGGCUCCAACCAUCUGAUCAAGGAAUCCACCUCCCAUGAUGCACAAGCAGGGCGACAGGAAUUCAAGGAAGGCUUCAGGCAGCUGCUCAAGGAAUCCACAUUCCUUCGCGUCAUCAGCCUGGAGGGCAUCAACAUUGGCGAGAAGCUGCCAAAUCGAAUCGGGGACAUGCUGCACCUACAGUACCUCAGUGUCCGGUGUUCGAACUUGACAAUGGUGCCAGACACCAUCGGCAAACUCAAGAAGCUCCAGACAAUGGAUGUGCGAGGGACCAAGGUGAAUACUUUGCCCGUAUCCUUCUGGAAAAUCAAAACUCUACGCCAUGUUCUAGGAAACCACGACCUCCAGUACCCUGAGUUUUGCCAAACAUCUGAAGACGUUGACGACCAUGUGCAUCUGAAAAUUAAAGAGCAUGUUGAUAACGUGCACAUCUCCCGUAGGAGCUUGUGGGUGCUUGUUAGUAGUACGUGUCGUCAGUUGUGA
rnacentral:rRNA from 1 species